rnacentral:lncRNA from 1 species
GACACAUUGUUAAGUCAAAAAUGCAUUUAAUACACCUAACCUCCCCAAUGAAGCCGACAGGCUGUGGGGGGGUGUGGCAUCAGGAAAAGCAGGGGGGCCCCUGUUCACUUCUGCAAGCAGAAGGUGAAAGGGGACAAUCUCUGAGGACCUGGGUGGGGCAAAGGACAGACCCCAGGACUGGACAGCUAGGGAAAGUGGUGUGGUGAGUUGAGAGCGGGAUAUUGAGAGCGGCAUGUACACAAGUGGCUUAGCUUUUGGGCUGUGGAGGGAGGGAGGUGUUCCCAGGCCCAUCACUUCCGGCCUCAGCAGCCUCUUCUGUUGAGGGAAGAGGAGUUACUCAUGUCGUCACUUCUGUUUCAAGUCCUGAAAAGGUCGGGAAGCAUUGCCUACACAGUCAUGCGAGGUCUCAAGCACGAGAUUUGGGGCUUUUGGAAGGAUCAGGUUCUUCUGAUUGCCCACCUCCCUCUGACCAAGCCCCUUCUCCAUCCCAGUGACACUGCUUUGUUCUUAGUACUGUCUCCCUUGCACCAGGGGUUACUCAGAAGGUUCUCAGAUGUUCUUUCCAAAGGCCACAAGGCCUCAUCUCAACUGUGCCCCACAGCUUUAUGGGUCGAGCAUCCGAAAUACAAAAUGCUCCAAAAUCCAAAACAUUUUGAGUGCUGACAUUACACCCAAAGGAAGUGCUCACUGAAGCGAUUUGGAUUUGGGAUUUUCCGAUUAGGGAUGCUCAAGUGGCAUGUACAUAACACACAUAUUCCAAAAUCAAAAAAAAGCUGAACUCCAAAACACUCCUGGGCCCAAGCAUCUCAGGUUAGGGAUGCUCAACCUGUAUUUGCACAGAAUUUGGGAGAGAGUUUAGGUGCUAUUGUUGAAUGGGUGGCUACCUCAAGUCAAACUGUGCCCUUUCCUGUACUAGGUGACAGUGCCAAGCCUGCCCUCCCCUCUAAGGUCAGAAAAACAAUGAGCAACGUGUGUCAAUGAGGGCAGCAGCUUCCAAACAGAUACCUGGGGAAACCUGGAAAUCUUCAGUGAUGUUUUGGUGGAGUGAGAACCUCUACAAGGGUUUGAUUCUAACUUCACUUUUAAAAUGCAUUUAGUUUUAGUUCUAAAAACUAAACAUUAAAAAUGGUAAUAACGCAACGUGCAUCCUCAAAUGUCUUCUGGGGGCAAAUGUAAGAUGUCGGAGGCCCUUGCUUCUGUUAACCUCUUUCUCCAAGGGCUGUUCACGGCCAUGAAGACUUCAGGAGACAAAGAGCCUGUUACCACCUCUGUUUAAUUGAAGAGCCUCUACCACCACAAGAAGAGCUGUUUAAAACAAAACAAAAUGGAUACUAUUUGCAAAUUCUUAGCUGGAUUAAAUAAAGAUUUCUCUAUUCUGUGCAACCCAGAAGUAAACUGGGGUUGAUACACACACAUUUUCAUCCAUAACCUUGGUUUAAAAUGCUUCCUAUUUGCUGGAAUAGUUUUCAAUACUUUUACUGAUUUCCUUUGAAAAAUAUUUGAACUCAUAAAAUAUAUUCAUAAAAUACUUUUAUCUAUUUUGUAUAGUGGGAAUCCAAUGUAAAAUUUUGUCCCAUAAAUUUGAAAACUGCUGGUUUUCAAAAGGCAUGGUUUUCAAAAGGCAUGGUGCUGGUUUUCAAAAGUACAAAAGGCAUGGAUGUUGGAAUGAAGGCUGGAGCCAAAUCCUGGCUCACCCCCUUACUAGUCACAUAUCAAAUCCUGGCUCACCCCCUUACUAGUCACAUAUCAAAUCCUGGCUCACUCGUCACUAGUCACAUAUCAAAUCCUGGCUGGCUCACCCCUUACUAGCCACAUAUCAAAUCCUGGCUGACCCCUCACUAGGCACAUAUCGAAUCCUGGCUGACCCCUCACUAGUCACAUAUUGAAUCCUGGCUCGCCCCUCACUAGUCACAUAUCAAAUCCUGGUUGACCCCCUUACUAGUCACGUAUCGAAUCCUGGCUGACCCCCUGAGUAGUCAUGUAUCAAAUCCUGGCUGACCCCUUACUGGUCACAUAUCAAAUCCUGGCUCGCCCCUCAGUAGCCACAUAUCAAAUCCUAGCUCACUUCUCACUACUCACAUAUCGAAUCCUGGCUCACCCCUCACUAGCCGCAUAUCAAAUCCUGGCUCGCCCCUCACUAGUCACAUAUCAAAUCCUGGUUGACCCCCUUACUAGUCACGUAUCGAAUCCUGGCUGACCCCCUGAGUAGUCAUGUAUCUAAUCCUGGCUGACCCCUUACUGGUCACAUAUCAAAUCCUGGCUCGCCCCUCAGUAGCCACAUAUCAAAUCCUAGCUCACUUCUCACUACUCACAUAUCGAAUCCUGGCUCACCCCUCACUAGCCGCAUAUCAAAUCCUGGCUCGCCCCUCACUAGUCACAUAUCAAAUCCUGGCUCGCCCCCUUACUAGUCGCAUAUCGAAUCCUGGCUCGCCCCUCACUGGUCACGUAUUGAAUCCUGGCUCGCCCCUCACUAGCCACAUAUCAAAUCCUGACGGCUCACCCCUCACUAGCCACAUAUCAAAUCCUGUCUCACCCCUCACUAGCCACAUAUCAAAUCCUGACUGGCUCACCCCUCACUAGCCACAUAUCAAAUCCUGUCUCACCCCUCACUAGCCACAUAUCAAAUCCUGACUGGCUCACCCCUCACUAGCCACAUAUCAAAUCCUGGCUCGCCCCUCACUGGUCACAUAUCAAAUCCUGGCUCACCCCUCACUGGUCACAUAUCAAAUCCUGGCUCGCCCCUCACUGGUCACAUAUCAAAUCCUGGCUCGCCCCUCACUGGUCACAUAUCAAAUCCUGGCUCGCCCCUCACUGGUCACAUAUCAAAUCCUGGCUCGCCCCCUUACUAGUCGCAUAUCGAAUCCUGGCUCGCCCCUCACUGGUCACGUAUUGAAUCCUGGCUCGCCCCUCACUAGCCACAUAUCAAAUCCUGACUGGCUCACCCCUCACUAGCCACAUAUCAAAUCCUGUCUCACCCCUCACUAGCCACAUAUCAAAUCCUGACUGGCUCGCCCCUCACUAGCCACAUAUCAAAUCCUGGCUCGCCCCUCACUGGUCACAUAUCAAAUCCUGUCUCACCCCUCACUGGUCACAUAUCAAAUCCUGGCUCGCCCCUCACUGGUCACAUAUCAAAUCCUGGCUCGCCCCUCACUGGUCACAUAUCAAAUCCUGGCUCGCCCCUCACUGGUCACAUAUCAAAUCCUGUCUCAUCCCUCACUAGUCACAUAUCAAAUCUUGGCUGACCCCUUACUAGUCACAUAUCGAAUCCUGGCUCACCCCCUUACUAGUCACAUAUCGAAUCCUGGCUCGUCCCCUUACUAGUCACAUACCAAAUCCUGGCUGACCCCUUACUAGUCACACCCCUUACUAGUCACACAUCGAAUCCUGGCUCACCCCUCCCUAGGCAUAUAUCCUUGGGCCUGUCACUUACCCUCUUUGAGCCUCCAAGUCCCAUCCACUAAAUGGAGCUCAACUUAGCAGGAAUUACAUCCGAUGAGAUAAUGUAUCCAGGACACAGUAAAUACACAGUUACCUUUUCCUUCCCACCCCACCAACAUGUACAGAUAGCACUGAAUUGCCCAGGCCCUCUCAUGACCUAAGAUACCACAUGCAGGCCACACGGCAGCUGGACUGUGCAGCCAGGGCCCAGGGCUACCCCAACUGACCUCCACUCCCCUCAGCACCCUCCUCUGACCUCCGAGCUAGCCAGCUGCUGAUCCAAAGCUCUGGAUCCUUUAGGGCCGUGCAAAGAUGUGACAGGCAUGGGUAUGAGGCUGUGGGGGACUCUGUGUGUAAACUGAUGUUUCUUUAUAUAGCAUUUGAUAUUGGGUGGGGGUAUGAGGUUGUGGGGGGCUCUGUGUGUAAACUGAUGUUUCUUUAUACAGCAUUUGAUAUUGGGUGUGGGUAUGAGGUGUGGGGGACUCUAUGUGUAAACAGAUGGUUUCUUUACAUAGCAUUUGAUAUGUAUUCCAUUUGCCAUCCCGUUUCCAGCAGGUUAUUCCGAGUGCUCUUCCUAGGGAAGGAAUCCCAGUCACCCUCAAGCAGGCAGGUUGUGGCAGGUUAUUCUGAGUGCUCUUCCUAGGGAAGGAAUCCCGUUUCCAGCAGGUUAUUCCGAGUGCUCUUCCUACGGGAGGAAUCCCAGUCACCCUCAAGCAGGCAGGUUGUAGCAGGUUAUUCCGAGUGCUCUUUCUAGGGAAGGAAUCCCAUUUCCAGCAGGUUAUUCUGAGUGCUCUUCCUAGGGAAGGAAUCCCAUUUCCAGCAGGUUAUUCCGAGUGCUCUUCCUAGCGAAGGAAUCCCAUUUCCAGCAGGUUAUUCCGAGUGCUCUUCCUAGCGAAGGAAUCCCAUUUCCAGCAGGUUAUUCCGAGUGCUCUUCCUAGCGAAGGAAUCCCAUUUCCAGCAGGUUAUUCCGAGUGCUCUUCCUAGAGAAGGAAUCCCAUUUCCAGCAGGUUAUUCCGAGUGCUCUUCCUAGCGAAGGAAUCCCAUUUCCAGCAGGUUAUUCCAAGUGCUCUUCCUAGGGAAGGAACCCCAUUUCCAGCAGGUUAUUCCGAGUGCUCUUCCUAGGGAAGGAACCCCAUUUCCAGCAGGUUAUUCUGAGUGCUCUUCCUAGGGAAGGAAUCCCAUUUCCAGCAGGUUAUUCGGAGUGCUCUUCCUAGGGAAGGAAUCCCAUUUCCAGCAGGUUAUUCCGAGUGCUCUUUCUAGGGAAGGAACCCCAUUUCCAGCAGGUUAUUCCGAGUGCUCUUCCUAGGGAAGGAACCCCAUUUCCAGCAGGUUAUUCCGAGUGCUCUUCCUAGAGAACGAAUCCCAUUUCCAGCAGGUUAUUCCGAGUGCUCUUCCUAGGGAAGGAACCCCAUUUCCAGCAGGNNNNNNNNNNCAGGUUGUAGCAGGUUAUUCCGAGUGCUCUUUCUAGGGAAGGAAUCCCAUUUCCAGCAGGUUAUUCUGAGUGCUCUUCCUAGGGAAGGAAUCCCAUUUCCAGCAGGUUAUUCCGAGUGCUCUUCCUAGCGAAGGAAUCCCAUUUCCAGCAGGUUAUUCCGAGUGCUCUUCCUAGCGAAGGAAUCCCAUUUCCAGCAGGUUAUUCCGAGUGCUCUUCCUAGCGAAGGAAUCCCAUUUCCAGCAGGUUAUUCCGAGUGCUCUUCCUAGGGAAGGAAUCCCAUUUCCAGCAGGUUAUUCCGAGUGCUCUUCCUAGGGAAGGAAUCCCAUUUCCAGCAGGUUAUUCCGAGUGCUCUUCCUAGCGAAGGAAUCCCAUUUCCAGCAGGUUAUUCCGAGUGCUCUUCCUAGAGAAGGAAUCCCAUUUCCAGCAGGUUAUUCCGAGUGC